rnacentral:sRNA from 1 species
AAUAUGUUUUUAGUCAAUUAUCCUUAAACACCAAUCAUGUCUUUGUAGUAUUUUAGGUGUCAAUCCAAAUGGGUGUGAUGCAAACAGAUGAGAUGUGAUCAGAAGUCACUAAGUCAAGCCAAGCAAUAACAGUAUUGGGGUUUCUUACAGUCCUAAGUGAACAUGCAGAAAACAGAAACAAUAAUAGAAUUACUAAAAUCACCCGACCACAACAGGCUGAUGCAAGAAGUAGGAUGUGAUCGAGUAAGAGGCAGGAUAUGAAACAAAUAUACUCGAUUGCACAGUCUAUUGCCAGACACUGGGUCUGGUCGAGUAUACAUGUCGAGUAACAGACAGGAAAUGAGACAGCUGUACUCGAUUGCACAGUCUGUUGCCAGACACUGGGUGUGGUCAAGUAAGUUGGUCGAGUAAUUGCAAAAACUAAGAAACAGGCAAUGAAAACGAUUAAGUGAUAACAAUAAAACGGAGAAAUCAGAUAGACGAGAAAUUCCUAAGGAUGGGGUAAUCAAGUAGAGUUGUAUCCUAGCCUAUUCGAAUGGUUAACAAGCGCAAUCAAGCUAUCCCUAGACUGAUCAAUUAACUCCCGUGAUAGAAAUCCUCAAGCAAAGCUAGCCCAGACUAAUUUCUAUUAACGGAAUCUAACUAUGCAGGCAAUAAGAACAGACUGAUAAAGUCAAUAAACGCUCUAAUCGGCCAAUCCCUUGGGAUAGAGACGAAUAUCUCAGGAACUAGUCGAUCGAACAUUCCAUCGAACACCUUCUGGGUGCGGGAAUGCUUUGCUUGAAUUCCAGUUGAUCAGAAAGAAAUAAGCAGUAAACGCAACUAGUCCUGAAGGGAUUCAAUCAAUUCUAAAAUUUAACCAUUCUACAGACUACGGAUUCCACAAAUACUCUAUCCCAUCCCUAAGAAUUCUAAGUCACUACUCAGACAACAUGCUCAAAGACAUAAACGCAGAUAAAUGAUAAUAUUGCAUAAGUAAAGAGAUAAAGAGUAGAGAAACAAGAUGACAGAUGAAAUCAAAUGCGGAAUCUGAAUAACUUGGAAAAAUCUCGAAUUACUGGUUGCAGAAGCAAAAGCGGCACAGCAGAGUAAAACAGAAAAUAAAACUGAAGCAAAAACUCAAUGUCGACUAGAUGUCUCAGGACAGAACCCUAAGACAUCUAUUUAUACAAAACGAAAUAAAAUGAUAGUAGACGGGCCAAUAACCUAAUCGCCCGGCCCAUAGAAUGAUAAUGGGCCGAGAUGGGCUUCGUGAUCCGAUGGAGGUCUAGGCCGCUUCUAAACACUUUGUCUUCUCCUCUUCUCUUCCUUGUGCUCAGCUUGUCUGGUUGAGUGCGGAUUUGAUUAGACUAUAAAGACGUGAUCGAGUGUCCGGUCGAGUGAUGGUGAUGGUGGUGAGUGAUGAUACUCGACCAGGGGGUCGAGUAACUUGGUAGAGUGAAUGGCUGAGUGUGGUCAGGUUGUGUGGCGAAGUGAUAUUCGACCAGGGGGUCGAGUGGCGUCAUCGAGUGGCCUGAGCUGAGGAUACUCGACCAGGGGGUUGAGUAGGUGGGAAGAAUAGCUCCAAAGUUACUCGACUUGGGGGUAGAGUAUAGUGCUGGAUGCACACGACCUGGUGGUCGAGUAUGUCUUCUGGUUCUGGCUCGUUUCUUCAAAUUUGCUCGCAAACAGCUCCAAAUCAUCUGAAAACAACUCAGAAAUGCAAUAUGUAUGCAAAGCUAUCCUAAUCAUGCAAAGUAUGCAAGAAUGAUGAGAAAUGAUAUAAAACAGUGAUGAAUGAUACAAAACUGGACUCAAAACGAUGAUGAAUGGACACUGAAAACAUGCAAAUUAUAGACAUAUCAACUCCCCCAAACUUAGUCUUUGCUUGCCCUCAAGCUAAUAAGAAGACAUAGUUGAAGGAGAGGUUUGAAGGCGGGGACUCAGAACCAAAGCAUAUGAUAGAGCGAAUAAAAUCAAUGUCCAAGUUGGUAGUUCUAAGAUGCGAUAUGAUUGAAUUUUACUCAAAAACGUUAGCCAUGCCUUGUUAUCAAUCAAUCCGUCUCUUAUACUCGACCUACACAUGUUUUCAAAUCUACCAAUCCCUUUAACAUUCAUUAGUUCUGGAACGUGAAUCAAGCAAUGCAUCAUCAAUGAACUCAUUUGGCUAAGGUGAAGGUCAGGAGACAAAGAUGGUCCCUCAC